AUUUGGGUGACUAAACAUCACCUAUUAUUAUUAUUAUUCGGAUUCCCUGUCCUCCAUUCUCAACCGUCGGCAGAACAACAAGAAGAACGAAAAAAACAUUUAAAAAAGCAAGCAAAAAAGAACGAACGUAAGUCCUACCAAUAAAGAGAUCUGAAAGCAAAAAAAGCAGCGGAAGGGGCGAAGAGAGGGACGUCAAAAUUCUCACGCUUUCCUUGCCAAGAUCCUCCAAUACCCUUUUGACAUUCCAUUUCCGAGGUCCUCUACGCGCUCUGGAGCUCCUCCCCUUUUCGUUUCCAACGGCGAGAGAGACGGGUACGGCGAUCAUGGCAUAGAUUCGAUUCGACCUUGCGGUCGUUUUCUGUCCCAAGUGACGAACGAGG
rnacentral:lncRNA from 1 species